CCUACGGGUGGCAGCAGUAGGGAAUUUUCGUCAAUGGGCGCAAGCCUGAACGAGCAAUGCCGCGUGAACGAGGAAGGUCUUCGGAUCGUACAGUUCUGUUGAUGGGGAAAAAGAGCGGAGAGAGGAAAUGCCUUCUGAUUGAUAUUACCCUUCGAGGAAGUCCCGGCUUACUACGUGCCAGCAGCCGCGCGAUUACGUAGGUGGCGAGCGUUAUCCGGAAUGAUUGGGGGUAAAGGGUGCGUAGGCGGCCUGCUAGGUCUGGGGUGAACGGUACCGGCUCAACCGGUGCAGGCUCUGGAAACUGGCGGGCUAGAGAGCAGGAGAGGGCGGUGGAACUCCAGGUGUAGCAGUAAAAUGCGUAGAUAUAUGGAAGAACACCAGUGGCGAAGGCGGCCGCCUGGACUGUUACUGACGCUGAGGCACGAAGGCGUGGGGAGCAAAUAGGAUUAGAUACCCGAGUAGUC
rnacentral:rRNA from 1 species